CUUUUAAAUUAAUUUUUAAAAAAUACGUAUUUAUGUGUUAGACAGUUUGAAUAAAUUUUCAACUAGUACUUUAUUGCACUUCAAACAUCUACUGCCCUGUUGGAGAAUUUCCAAGGAUCCGUAUUUUGUAAACAACGAAGCAACUUGAUGGAAUUAUUAUAGUCUUUAUCAUGUAUAAUGUCAGUUGCAGUCAUGUCUCAAUCUGAGCAGGAAAAACCUAAGUUUUGGACCGCUCCUUUUGAUCCUCGUUUUCCCAACACAAAUCAAACUAA